rnacentral:rRNA from 1 species
AAUCAACGCUGGCGGCGUGCCUCAGACAUGCAAGUCGAACGCGAAAGUUUCCUUCGGGGGACAAGUAGAGUGGCGCACGGGUGAGUAACACGUAGGUAAUCUACCUUUGGAUGGGGAAGUAACAACCGGAAACGGUUGCUAAUACCGCAUAAUGCAGCGGCACCUAAUGGUGACAGUUGUUAAAGCGGGGGAUCGAAAGACCUCGCGUCUGAAGAGGAGCCUGCGGCGGAUUAGCUAGNGGUAAGGUAAUGGCUUACCAAGGCUACGAUCCGUAACCGGCCUGAGAGGGCGGUCGGUCACACUGACACUGACAUACGGGUCAGACUCCUACGGGAGGCAGC